AGACAGCAGGCCCAGUGCCUGACUCGGUCGCUCCUCCUUCUCUUCGUGCCUUUUUAACUUUGACAGAUGCUGCCUCAAGGACAAGCGAGCCCUCUUAAACACCCCCUAAGCAGGCGCCUUAUCCCCACCUCUUUCCUAAGGAGGCCACCAGGCCCAGCGACCUCACAGCUCUCCCAGCUUCCUCGCACCAGAAGCGCACGGGGUGCCCUGCGAGUCCCAUACCUGCUGCAAGACCAGGGCGAGUCCCCAGCCAGGCCACUUCCUGGUGCCCUGGGAUAGGGCCGGGAGAGGCAGGGCCUUGCCUUUGCUCUCCUCCAGGUGGGAGUGCCUGUCAUACCUUGACCCUCUCUCUACGCACCUGGCUCCAGGCGGAGGGGCUGGGCCAGGCCUCCCCGGAAGGGGGCACCAGCCUUGGGUAAACGGAUACCCACAGUGCCUGGGUGCUCUCAGGGCAGGGCCUCAGGGCCAUACCCGCCGCGCAGGUGGGGCGGGCGCCCUGGGUGCGCUCCCCGCGCCGGGCACCAGGCGUCGCCCCCGCUCCUCUCAGCGCCGGGGCCCCCGCCCCCGCCGCGGAGCCGCAGCCGGAGCUGGAGCCGAGGCGGCGGCGGGACCCGGCCGGCCGGACAAAUUUCCUGCUCCGCUGCGGACGGCGGGCUGCAGGAGCCGGCGCGAGCGGCUUCAGGAACCCACGGCUUCUGCGCGUCCCCGCGACCCUUCUUCGCGCCCGGCGCGGACAGCCGGGCGCCCCGGAGGGCGGCGGGCGGGCGCCCGGGAGAUGCGGAGCCGCCGCGGCAGCGCGAUCUGCGCGACCGGACCGGCCCCCCCGAGACUAUAGCCUUCACAUUCCCUCGGUGAGUACAAAACUUUUUAAAAAUUAUGUCUGAUGUAUGGAUAACUAGCUUAAAAUAAUAUGUGGGAUUUAAUUAUUAGAAGAGCAUUGUCUUCUUGAGAAAGAAGGCCGUAUGGUCAGCAUGUUAUAUUUGAAUUUUAUGCGUUACCUUGCUUGAACAGGCUCAUAUCACACCUUUUUGUUACAUCAUUUGUGUGUGUGUGUGUGUGUGUGUGUGCGCGCGCGCAUGCGUGUGUGAAAUAUGGCUCAGCUGCUUGGUCUCCUGAAAUGUAUUGUUGAGGACACAGUUUCUACAUCCUUUCCUUUCACCGACUUGUUGCUUUUAGAAGGGUCUAGCUUUAUCUCAAUGGCACACAUCUGACCACUGUUCAGGAGCGUGGGAGCACAUAAUUGUAUUGAUACUAACUGCUUCUUAAAUUGAUC
rnacentral:lncRNA from 1 species